rnacentral:rRNA from 1 species
UACAGAGGUGGCAAGCGUUGUUCGGAAUUACUGGGCGUAAAGGGCGCGUAGGCGGUCUUGCAAGUCCUGUGUGAAAUCCCUCGGCUCAACUGAGGAACUGCACAGGAAACUGCUUGGCUUGAGUUCGGGAGAGGGAAGCGGAAUUCCGGGUGUAGCGGUGAAAUGCGUAGAUAUCUGGAGGAACACCGGUGGCGAAGGCGGCAUCCUGGACCGGCAUUGACGCUGAGGAGCGAAAGCCAGGGGAGCAAACGGG